UGACGUUCUCAGGGCGGGGUGAAAUUCCCCACCGGCGGUAAUUGCUCUUAUCGAGCAUCAGCCCGCGAGCGCCUUUUUCGAGAGUCGAAGAAGGGUCAGCAGAUCCGGUGUAAUUCCGGAGCCGACGGUUAGAGUCCGGAUGGAAGAGAACAAAG
rnacentral:ncRNA from 2 species